AAUUCCUCAACCUUGUCGACCUUGGCAAGGCUUGGACUUUGGAGUGUGCCGGACUCUGCUCAUGAAGUCGGCUCCUCUAAAAUGUAUCAGCAAAACCUGUAGCGGGGUUGAAGCUUUGGUUUGAUAAUUCCUCUUUGGUCUUAAGCCAUGGCUGUCCGCUCGUAUUUGCUUGCUCUCAAGGGGCCUCAAAGCCCCCUUUUUGACA
rnacentral:misc_RNA from 1 species